AGCUUCUACUCAAGAUUUGAAGGGCAGCUGUCCUCAGGAGACCCCUGGCACUUCCCUCCCUGGUGGGAUAUGAUGCCUGAUUCCAGUGAGUUCAUAGAGCUGAACAAAAGGAGGCAGCAGAUGGCUGAAAUUCUGAUCCGAUGUGGCUGGUUAAUGCACGAUCUGAAAACCCCUGCACUGGUGAUUUUGGGACAGAUCUAGAAUAUACCAAUAAAUAUAUUAACAUACCAAGUAGUCUAGGAGCAGCCACUGGGCAAACACCAAACCUUGCAUCCCUGGUGCUGUCUCUGAGCUCAGCAGACACGUCUUUGUAGAAGAGUUCUAUAAUGGUGGUUCAAUGGCGCCCCCUCGUGACAGAAGCUUGAACUACAGCUUGAACAUCGAGAUGAAAAUAUACUGUCUACAUUGUUCAACACAAUAGCUAAUGGCAACUGUGGCAGUUGAACACCCGAAACUUGAUGAAUGUGACUGAGGAACUGAACUUUUAGUUUCAUUGUGACAUGGUGAAUGAAUUUAGUGAGCCCCAGGAAGAAGGAAGAUUAAAGAAGAGCAAAGAAUAAUAGCUGGACAGAAGAUGGGGGUCAUUGAACCUAUAUCCUAGUUGCCUGACCAGUAAACUGACCACGGGUCCUGGGGGAGGCAGCAGAUGACCGAAAACCUGGAGUGAUGUGGCUGAAUACCGCAUGAUCCGAAGACUGCACUGGUGGCUGCGGUAUGGGUCCAAAUUUUUCCUUAACAAAAACAAAAAAAGAGCCCAAAACCAUACUGACCAGUCCAGGAACAGCCAUUAGGCAAACACAACUUUUUGCUACCCUGGUGUUACCGAUUUCUGAGCUCAACAGGUGAAUUCAAAGAUAUGCGUGUCUUUCCAGCAUGGGCAGCUGGAUUUGGGUCAGCUCAGGGGCAUGAUGUUGAACAGCUCUUAUGAGCUUCUGAUAGUGCCCAGAAGUACAGAAACAACUGUCUACAAAUCUUUGAACUCAAGGCAUAUCACAGGGACCUUUGCUUUCUUCAACUAGAUAUCUGUUUUCUCAUAAAGAGAAACAAUGAGAAAUGGUUUUUCACAAUGCCUCGUUAACCCUGAGGCUCAGCCAUCCCCUAGUGCUGUGUCCCAACAUUUAAAGUUCAUUGAAG
rnacentral:lncRNA from 1 species